rnacentral:rRNA from 1 species
CACGUAGGGAGCAAGCGUUGUCCGGAUUUAUUGGGCGUAAAGGGCUCGUAGGUGGUUCGGUAAGUCAGGUGUGAAACCUCCAGGCUCAACCUGGAGACGCCACUUGAUACUGCUGUGACUGGAGUCCGGUAGGGGGAGCGUGGAAUUCCUGGUGUAGCGGUGAAAUGCGCAGAUAUCAGGAGGAACACCUGUGGCGAAAAGCGGCUCACUGGACCACAACUGACGCUGAGGCGCGAAAGCUAGGGGAGCAAACAGG